GUAUGUAUGAUUGGUCCAAGGAAGGACAAGGAGCAAUAGCAGACUUUGCACUGUUCUUCAUUGCAGAACUGUAGUGUUGCUUUGUUAUAACAGCCACGAAACUGAUCUGAGAUAAUGCUGAUCUGAGAUAAUGCUGAUCUGAAGUCUAUUUAUUGUUUAAUAUAGAAUAAGCCAUUAGUGUGUGCUAUGUCUUGGUAUUAUGAAAAUAAUAACUAAGUACAUCCCUUUGCUCUAGAAAAUGUUAGGAGCACAAAGCAGUAGAUCUUCUAAGUCCUUGUAUGUACUACCUAACGCAGCCUAGUAAAGUAUGGUGUUUUCUAUUUUAACUGGGAUUGUCAUAAUGAAUCCUUACUUUUUAAAGUGACCCAUGGGAUGUUUGAAUGCUAAGAACCAGCGGCACAGCAUGAGACUCUUGGUGUAGUAAAUAUUUAAUAUCGUGUUUAUUUAAUUUUGCAGUAGCAUUAUUGAUGCUGUACACUUGUACCUAAGAUCUCUACAGAAAGACACAAGGCUGCUAGGAGGGGAAGUUUGGCAAACAAACUUCUUUGUGCUCUCAUCAUGGGCUGGAGAAGAAUUUCAAAGUUCUUCCUCACAGAGUGUGGAUUUUAGUGGCUUUUAGUAUCUAUGAUAACUUCUGUUAAUUGUGGACAAGCUUUGAGUAUGCCCAGGUGCCUUCCAUGAGAAGUGUAGCAUUUAACACCAUUUUAAAACAAAGUGAUUGGAAAGAGGAAACAAUCAUAUUAAGCAUAUCCUUUGCAGGUUCAAGAACAACAGCAUAUUUAGUUGGUAGGAUGGUAUGAAGGAAACCUCAGGGACCAAGAGGAGCUCAGCUGUGAGGUCAGACAGAUUUUAGGCAGUUUGUGUGGAAGACUGAUCUGCCCUACUGCCCAUCCUGACAACUAUCUCUGAGUCUGGCUUCUCUCUAAUAGCUUUGCAUUUUCUGCAUCAGGUGUUGUCCCACAAACCCUGGUUUGACUUGAUGCACAGACUUGGGUGGAAGUCACUCUAUUAGUAGCACUUUGUCCCAAAACAGGUCAGAUGAAAGGAGCAGUUUCACAAUGGCAUAUCCAGCCCUUGGCUUUCUGGGCAUGCAGCCCUAUGAGGAGUCCAUGGCCAAGGUUGCGAUUGGCUGGUGGUGGACAUGGAUACCCUAACUUUUGGAGGAUGGGUACCAGUCCUAGAAUGUGAAUGUGGCAGCGUAGGGACUGUGUGGGAUGAGGGGAUUCUCUGACCUUUCCUCCAGUGAAGAAACCAUUUAUGUGGUAUAGGUGACCUGGAAAGCCACAGCUGAGCUGCCUCUCCCAUGCAGUGGUCCAGAAGGCUCCUACCAAAUCCUACGCACAAUGGAAUUGCAGUCUGGUAUCUUAUUUAUAGACCCAUAUUUCCUUAUGCAGAGUUCAGAUUCAGACAAAAGUGUUGCAGAAAUGUUUAUCUGGCUUGAAAGUUCUUUUGGACCAGCUGGGGAUCCUGAAUAGUGCAAGAGGCUGCUUUUCUGCUUCAGCUUUUGGGUUCCUUGAGCUGCUUUGCCUCUAGUGGAGGAAAAAAAAAAAAAAAAAAAAACGUAAAGAAGGAUAAAAACUACACAAGAACAGGCUCUCUUUACCCCCAUUUCUUCCCCUGAUGUGCAACUUACCAAGCUGGGAUAAUGGCUUUCAUCCUUCGGGGGUUUUUGACUAAGGAUAAGCAGGUAGUCAGAUCAGACAAGGACUGAUCUAAUCCUUCCCAGCCUCCUACAAUCUCAGCCUUGCUAAGUUUCAGCUUUAGUUCUUCACUUAUUCAUUUUUUCCUUCCUAGUUUCCUGUGAAAAUGCUUGUAUGAUUUCACAUUUGUUAACGUAUUUUCUCAGCCUGUAGACUCGCAUUCAUUCCCGCAACAUUGGCUUCUCACCACCCUCCCUUCUCUCUCACCCAGUCUCAGAUUUUCAGAGUAAUCAGUAAAUGUAUCCUUUGCAUGCUAAUACAUACCCUUCAUUACAUGCCAUGCAGCUUUUCUAGGCAAAUACAUAGAUCACCCUGUUCACAGAACUCAUUCUGUCCAUAAAUCACAGAACGUUCUGCCAGAUAAGGACUUGGAAAUCCUGAUUUCUCAGUCAUCUUAAAGCAGGAAAAUCUGAGAUUAAGGAACAGGGUCAAAGAAGGUGUUUGUUGCAAUGUGUGUUGUUUUGUGCCUCAACCUUCUUGUCAGAUUAUAGCUAUAAAAGGAGUCCGGGUACUGUAGUAGGAAGCAAGCUCAUCAACAGUCUGAAAGAGGAAGGUGAAUAGAGGCACGUGUUCAGCCAAGGGAACAGAGGACAAAGCAAGAGUUGACAUUGCAGGUAGUUAAGCCAUCUCCUUACUGCUGUUAAUGCUAACACUUGCAGAACCUGUGCUUCACCAGAUCCACUCAGCUGGAGCUGUACCAUUUUUAGGCUUAUCUAUCUGUGUGAGCAAAACCUUUCUGCUCCACUGUUAGCCGAGGGAGAAAAUUGAACAGUCAUACUGAUUUAUUUUUAAGUGACAAAACACAGGUUUACAUGUUUAUAAGUCUGUGAUUGAGAAUGUUGGCCUUAAACUUUACUUGAAUUGUUGUCCUGAGCAACGAGAAAAACACACCUUUUCUGAAAUUAUAAUGUAAAUAUGUGCAUUACUCAGCUCUUGGCAGCCAGAUGGCGCCAGAUGGACUUUCAAAAUCAUCUGCAGCGUGGAAAUGAGCCUCUUUCUGUUCCCCAAAUAAAGGCGAGAUGGAUGGAUACCGCUGCCAAGACAGUGGGACAAGUGAAGCAGUAAGGAUGCUGGGGCUGCAGUAUCAAAUACAGAUUUAUAGAACCUGUGUGCAGUAAAAACCCAUCCACAGCAAAGCCUUGGUACAGGGAAUGAUUUUUCUGCUGUCAGAAAUAUUGACUACAUUUUUAUGACUAUUUCAGCAGAUUGUCCUUUGUAAUCGUAUACCUGACAAAAGGAAAAACACAAAUAUUUAGGAACUUGGUUAUUUUUCUUUAUUGUGCACAGGGAAUCCUUAUCAUUGUUCCAUACAUGCUCUAACAACUGACGGAAUGUUUUGUUUGCAAGCAGUAAACUUUGAUUCCAUGAUCUUUGUUAUGAUUAUGGCUUAUUCAAAUGUGGUCUUAGGAAAGAAUACCACAAAGUGUUUCUUCUUUUGCCUUCAAAACUUAAAAACUGCCUGGAAAUAAAUCCCAAGGACCUGGAGAAUUGGGGAGCAUUGGGCAAUUGCUAUUUCUCAGAGCUCCCUCCUUUUCUGCUGAGAUGAACAACUGAAGGAAAUCAGCCAGAUUCUUGUUCAAGAAACAGAACUAAAUUGCCUGAAUCAAAACACACUGAAGAGUUUUCAUGUCCUUCAAGAUUUUCAUGAAAUAUGGGAUUCUUAUAUAUUAAAAAUAAAAAAUCAAGGAGUAUUACAAGGGACCCCAACUCUGGACCACCUUUGGGAACUUGCAGACACAGGAAAAAUGAUAGGGUGUAUUUGCAGCUGCAGCUUUCAGUUGUUUUCAGAUUCUUCUGUUACUGAAGCUCUUAGCUGCACAUAGUGUAACUAUGAAGAAUGGGCAUACUGAAAGUGUCAAGGUGCCUUUUAAGGCAAAGGUAUUGUGUAAAGUCAUGUUUCUAAGGUGGUGUUGAGGUGGCAAAGAGGUGAUGGAGAAAACCAGUGACUGUGUUACAAGCAAAUGCUGUGCAAGAGGAGACAACGAAGCUGUUAAAGCUGAAUCUCAGAAAAUAACUGGCUCAGCUUUGGGCAAUCUUUACCUCAGCAUUGUUCGCAGGGCCUCAUAUUAAUCAUUUUAUAGCAGGCCAGUUGCUGGUAGGCAUGCUGGGCUGCAAACACUCUAAAUUAGGUUUUCUCUUUAUAUGUAUAUUAAAAAAAAAAAAAAACCUUGCAGUGCAACAGACUUUUCUACCUAAUUGAGUAAUUCAAGUCCAAUUUUGCUGUAAUCAGUAGAACUACCUUGAUUUACACUGUGGAAGAAAAUGACCCUCUAAGUAAUGGCCUUCCAUGUCAUUCUGGUCAGCUGUUCACACUGCAAACAGUCCAAAACCCCUACAGGGGAAAACAGAGUUCCUGGAACACACAGAGAGUAUGCAUUAUAAUGAAAUGGAAAGCACCCAAAGGCAACGGAGGAAAACUGGUAACUUGCUUCACAUCAAGAGGAGGGUGGGUGGGGAAAACAUCUUGGAUCAAAGUAGGGUGGUAGAAAGUAACUUUGGAAUGGAGAAGGUGGAGAAAGGAAAAGCAUACCAAUUCGGUAUACAUGUUAUCAACUCUGAGGGCCUCAGUAAGCUCCUGGAAGCAGAAGAACAGAAAUUAUUGCCAGAUGAGCUGUUGGGUAAGCAUAUGAAAGUCUUAGGCCAGCUGUUUUUAAUGUAGUUUCACUGUCCUGCUUCCCAUCAUUUUUGUCCUCUUCCUUCUCACCAGUUUCCAAAAGAACACUGUCCUUGUGCUUCAGAGGACAAAUUAGAAGGACAGGAGCUUAGAAACUGCUUUGUGCUCGGACUAAAACCAGGACCAAAUAAAUAACAAAUCCUUUCACUACCAGUGUUUGCAGACUCAGAAAACCCUCUACAUGGACUGGCCAUGAAAGAGGACUGACUAACACUCUCUUCUAGUGUCAGUUACAUAAGCUUAGUAGAAUAUGGCAGAAAUGAAGUGUCUUUCUCUGGAAAAUAUUGUGGAGGAGGAGAGAAGAUAAUGUAAAAGGGAAUGCUUAAAAACAUUUUGUUUUGCAGCCAAGAAAGAAAAUAUGUCAGCCAAGACCUAAGUUAGUUAGAAAACACUGCUGAACUAUGUUCUGGGACUUACGGUUUGGGUACCUCUUGUGCUUGUUUUUCCUUUAUGGCAUCCCCAGAGAAGCUGUGCAUCCUGCCAUUUGUAGCUCUCUUUUUCCCAGGAUCAGAAUGUGUCACAGAAGAUAGUGUAGACAGUGUGUCUGGCCUGUUGAAGCAUUUCAGAAGUAAAAUUUCCAAACUGAAGUAAUAUAUAUCAGUUCUCACCUGAAGUGCUGCAAUUUUCCAUUUUUAUCCAAACUUCCUAUGGAUUAAGGGAAGUGUUUCUGUGCAGCUCUGUAGCAUACUGCAGAAAGAGCUCAUUUUUGGAAUAAAUGCAGGCAUUUAAAUGUUCCAACCUUUGAAGUGAUAAAGGGAAGUAGCUGGCAAAGUAAUAGGCUGUUAAAGAAGAUUACAGCCAUGAAUCAAGUAAACAUGCAAGUUAUCCUUCUUGACUUCUUGCUAUUGGUAUUUAUGUAUACAUAUGCGCACAUACACAAUUUGAAAUCCAUGAAUUCUGUUGCUAAACUUAUUUUUCUCUGUGUGAAUUCACUUGAACAGGUGCCUCAGUCUCGAGGGGUAGAUGUCAGGAAAGAAGCUGUCACCAUCACCAGGAACUCCUCAGCCCAGGAUGGACGUUCCUCAGUGCAAGGCUAUGUCAUAGAAGGAAGGAAAAAGAAGGUAACUGAAGGAUACAGCAUGAUACAGUGUGAGUUCAACCAUGCAGGGCCUGGAUUUCCCAGCGCACCUUUAACCACUUGUUGCAAAGGAUCCCACCGAGCCUGCAGAAGUCCUGAAGGUUCUCUACGUGGUGGAUUUUUCCAGUUCUAGCAUCUCCUUAGCCUGCCAGGAACCAAACAAGGAAGCUGUGUCAUCAAGAUACAUACUAGAGGAUAUAAGUGGAGGACACCAAGGAAUGGACAAAGUGCACCAAGAUCCCUAUCUCUAGUACCACUUAACUCUGCAGGAGGCUUGCAGGACAGACAUAUCCUUCCAAGCUGUGAGUGAAGCCAGUGUGGGAAAAGCAAUGGAGGUACAGGAAGGAAUUCUAGAAAUAGCACCUCCAGGUUUGACCUGACUGUGAGGCUGAAGAGCCACAUGGUGGUUUGUGCUGGAACAGCACGGUGCAUUCAUACGUCUUUGUCCAUACGAACUAGCUUGCUCCUUAGAGAAAUUUUCAUUACUGUAAUGAUCUGCUGGGGGUGGGGGAGCUAGGGAUCUCUGCGUUGUAUUUUGUACAUCGUCUCUUCAGAGUGCUUUUUAAAAUUAGCAGCUGUAUUUUUUCAUCAGAAAGGAAUUACAUAUGACAAACUGCUGAUCGGGUUCUUCAAGCUAGAAGAAAUGAAGGAGAAAGUACUUCAACUAAACACACAAGGACUCUGGAAGGGAGGAGCUGAAGUGAAAAAAUUUUGUCCCAGAAAAGAACAAAGGGAGGGUUCCAAACAGGAGAAAUCAAUACUUAAAUAUGCAAAUUAACUCUUAGAUUUCCUCUGAUCAACCACUAAUCUCAGCUGGCUUGAGAAAGUCCCAGAAACUGUGACACUAAAAUAGAAUUACAGCCAAGAUGAAGAAGAGAACUAGCAGACAUGUUAUGAUAUCCUGAAACAUGAUAUCAGUACUGCCACAUAGUUCACACAGCCACAGAAAAAUCUGCAGUAACAAGUAUGCCGUCAUAGGCCUGCUUCCAGGGAGGAAAUAAUUGUUCUGAGUCAUUGCCAGCAAUGACACUGGGGACAUUGACCCUUAGGAUUCAAAGGAACCAUGGUACAUCUCGAAAGAUAAAAGUAAGCACAGAAAUUCAUGUUAGUGCUGUGGAAAAAGGAUGCUUUUGUACACAAGACUGCAGACUAAGGUCAAGCUUCCUCUUUGGCUUUGAGCAUAUCACUAACGUGUUCUGCACCUCAACUCCCCACCUAGGCAAUGAGCACAGGAAUUCCUUUUUUUGCUCUUCCAUCCACUUGACAGCAAUUUUCUCAGCUCCAAACUUCCUUCAACAAUAUGCACGUGUAGGACAUUAUGUAGUAGGGUCUACAGAUGUUGAUUAAAAUUUAAGAUAGUAGAGCCUGUCUGAGGCUGAUAGUCCAUCAUGUCUUGAUGAAACCAACUGCUGGCUUUACAAGUCAUUGUCCUGUAGCCUAUUUCCCGUCCAACUGGGAUUUGUUUCCUAAAUGAGAAGGGCUCAUUCAGAAAAACCAAUCUGUCAUGUUUAGGAGAUUGCAUGACAGUCUUGUUGGGCAAGAAACAAUAGAAGUGCCUGGAAGCACAUUAGGUGUGCUUUUAGCAAACUCAUGGGUACUGCGUCAGGUAAAUGUGUUUUCCUUCAUUCAGCUGUUCUCUGCUCGGGCCUUAUCAGUAAUAAGGAUGUCUCAUUAGCAGUAAUCCCAGACAAAACUGAAGAGGCCCCAGUUCACAAAAUCAAAACAAUAAAUGAUCUUUCUGCCUGGACUGGGGGAAAGCAGAACAUCGUUACUUGGAUUUGUGAGGUCCAAGUCCAAUUUUUCAGUCUGGCCUAUUACUACAUAUAUUUUAUUAUUAAAACAGAAAUAUAAAGCAAGGAAACUAUAUAUAAAUAUAUAUUACAAGGCUAUGCAUAUAUUUCUUCAGAAGCUAUCCACAUGUUUCUACUAGUCUUCUAAUUCUAUCAAGAGCAAUGGGAAUUACAUUAAAGUAACAGAAUAAGUAAUGCACUAAAAUAAGUAAUCGGGUGUCAGAUUGCUUAUUUUUAUUUAAUGAUCAGCCUCUCUUGAUCCAUGUAACUAAACCAUAGGUAUGUUUCUUCUGUUAUAUGUGCUCCUGAGAAGUAACAUACCUAGUUUGGUGGUUGUAGUCAUUUUCUUGUGCAGAAGUGCUGUAGGCCUGGGUCUUGUUCUAGGCCUGAAAACAAGUAACUUCUAUGUAUGUAAACAAGCAUAAACGGUGGUAAAUGGAGGCUGUGUCUUAGGGUAUAUUCCCUUGGUAACAACCUGCUUGUCUUCAGGCAGGACAGCAGGACACAAGCAGAUGUGAACUGAUUUCCUAUUCUUCAUUAUUAAUGGUAAGCCAUUGGGUUUAUUUACAAAAGCUUGAAACAUGGUAGAAAAGCUCUGAGGAAUAAGGAAAGAAAUAGAGUUGUUUCCCAAGAAUGGCAUCUACUGGGAGAAUUUUGCCCUACAGUGCUGUAUCUAGGAUCCAGGGAGCUUACCUGAUGGGACCUCAUUCUAAUGCAAAAGCAGAUAAUAAAGACUUCAGAAAAUGUGUUUAGAUAUGCUGAAAAUAGAAGAUUUACAAUGGACACUGGAAAUUAAAUUGCAUAUUCAGUUCCCCAUGAUUCCUCUAGAGCAUUCUGUUGACUAUUAAUGCCUCAGAGAAGUAUCCCUUCCUUUCCAAGAUCACCUGGUUUGGUUUAUAAUUGGGUGUAAUUUAAUCAUGCAUUUCUAAAGCACUGUGGGAGCCAAAUAUCCCAAAGCACUUUACAACUUAAUGGCAUUAACAUGAGAAAGCAUCAGUAUAUUCCCAUGGAGCAAAAACCUGAUACCUUAUUUAUGGGCUGAGAAACACAAAAAUUAAUUGCUUGCCUACAAUUGUGUAUUGGGUAAAUGGGAGACUGAGGUUUCUGAGUCUUCCUUCUCUUGUUUUUCAUUUUGUAUUUGUUUACAUGAGGAAUAGGUACAUUGGUCCAAUGCUGAGGGUAAUGCAGCGUAUUGUUCAUUUCUUCCUCUCUGAGUGGGGAAAGAAGGCCCAGGGCAUGAACUGUCAUGCCUAAGCUCUUUGGAUUUGUACUUAUGCAGAAGAAGACUCCCUUUCCUGAUGGUUCUGGCUAUAUGUGUGUAUAUGUUUGCAUAUCUGUGUGCAACAGAGAGUGUGAUAUAAAGCAGCCCACAGCAUCUCUAUUUCCUUGGCACGGUGUUGUGACCUCAAGAUGGAGUGUCCCAGCAAGGACUAGCAUUGUGCACCUCACCAACAAACCAUAGCGUGAGUCACAGCAAUGACUGCAUCAUGAACUAUGCUUUCACUAAGAACCCCCACCCAGGAGUGUCCCCAUACAAGGGUAAUGUUAGUAUCACAUGCAAGUUCAAGUUGUGGUUUAGCUGUAGCAACAAGUGGCAUCUGCCUGCUUACGAUCCCAACAACCUACAGAUGACCAUAAGUAAGUCAGAUCUGCAGCUGCUAUGCUUCAGAUUGUGUAACUAGCAGUAGAUUUUAUGUAUCCGAGUAUAGUUUAUACCCUGCAAUUUUUCAAGGCAAAUGUUCUUACUGUGACUGGCAGUGUGGAUCACACUUCUCUGAAUCAUUUUGGCUCUUGUGCCUGCCCGUAAAGGAAGCAAUUGCCCAGUUCUGCAGAUAAAGGUCCAAGGACCAGGAUUUCUAAGAACUUAUCUUCGGAUCCAAAAAGCAGCCUUUCUCUGGCAUCAUCUUCCUUUGAAAUCAUUAAGAUUUGCCUUCAGUUCUUUGAAAACAGUAUUAGAUCCCUUAAAAUGGCAUAUUUGGGCUAGCAGUCUUGUAAAUACCCCCAGGUGACUCAAAAGCAAAUAUGGCUUUUCUCAGUCCCUAAGCAGGCCUACUCUACCCAUUUCCAAGUAGUCCAAACUCUAACAAGAGCUUUUUGCUUUUUUCACAAAUACUAAAGACUGCACUGGUUAAAUCUUCUCUUUCUCUGUGAAAUGCCAGGAAUUUGCCAAUAUUUGCCAAUAGUUUACUAGUAAACAUUUCUAAGAGGCAAAAAGUUAGUUAAAUAAAAAGUUAAAAAAAUCAGACACUGAUAUCCUCUCUUUCCUUCCCUGCUUUUCUCCAUGCCAGAAAUUCCCACUCAGUGAGAGAAUCUCAGACAGGUUGCAUUCAACUAAACAUUUACAGGUGUGUAGGGUGAUGUUUUACUAAUAGUAAUGCACAAGCCACACAUAGUUUCCCUGUGUCAUGAUGCUCAAACUUGCAGCUUGUAGACUGGUCUUAGUACAGCCAUGUCUGGAAACUGCUGUGUCCUCUGAGUUUCAGUAUUCCCUAUUAUGCUCACUCUACUUAUGAUUAACCGGAGAUCAAGGUUAAACAUUGGAGAGCAAGAAAUCUCCAUCCUUUUGUCUGAUGUGAAACUCUUUCCCCCACUUUCCUUUCUAGAGAAAAGGCACUGUGCCUCUGGACCUGUUGUUAUUCUUUACAGGGAAUAAGAGAGAGGCACUGCCAGACACAGCUUGAAAUGAAAUUGAUACAGCACUAAUAAUGACGAGGUAUAUAUUUGGAAAGAUCUUUUAGGGUUAUUUUUGUCUGUGAUCACUGCUUCUGGACUGCCUGCUGGCAACUGCUGAGGCCCCACUCUGGAGGAGUCAGUCUCUCUGCUGGUGGGGAAGUAGCUCGAUGUGGGUCAGUGGAGGGAAAGGAUGUGUGCAUGCCGUGUUUCCUGCUCUGAUUUUCAAGAACUCAUUUGUCUCUUUGCAUAGGAUAGAUACGAUACUUCUUUCACUGAAGCCGGCCGCUACACACCUAAAACACCAAAGCAGUUCUUUGCUCUUUUUUAGGAUGCUCUGAUAUUACUGGGUCUUAUGCUUCCCAGGUUCACUGAUGCACUCCUCCCUGAAGCCACAGCUUCAAGCCACAUCCAACAGCUGGAGGAGUUUCUUAGUUCCCAAAAGCAGUGAAAUCUCUCCCUGGCCUGGCAUCAUUAUCAGCCAAGCUGAUGCAAGGAGAACUUUGGCAGUGCUGUUCACCGGUGCUAUGGAAAGACAGGCAGACUGGAGGGGCAGAACAGCUUUCUAUACCUUUGGAGAUCUGAUUACCGGAAAGGACAAACCUACUGCCUUCCCACGCAAGCCCUGUUGUGGUAAGAACUGUUACAAUAGGAACACACCUCUUCAAAGCUGUGCAAAGCAACCUGCUUGUAAGCAGAGGUAGCUAAGGAGCAAGGCUUGCAAAAGCACUGUGUGGGUGAGGUGCUAAUUUAUAUUUGGAUUUUUUAAUGGCCCCUUGGGUGGGGGGGGGGGGGGAGGGGAGCUGAUAUAUCAGAUGCUGUAAUAUCUUAUUUCCAGGGCCUCCUGAGACUCCUCCUUGUCCUCCAUGACUUACCUGGGAGAGUCUCUGACCUGCUAGGGGCUUUUGCAGCUGAGUGUGCUGGGGAGAGCAGAUGUCAGAAUAAGAAAUAAUGGACUGAAAAACUAUCUUUAGAAGAUGAGGAUGUCACUUAGAAUUUAACUUAAUUGCAGGGUUAUUUUAGAACUGCAGAACUAUACUCUUACUGAUUUUCAUUCUGGAUGAGUGGUGGUUAUUGCCUGGGGCUGGCUGCCGUCAGCUGCAGGACAGCAAUACCUGCUGUGGGUGCUCUAGCUGUGAAAGCACUCUGUUAGACUGGGAGCUCCUUCAGACCAUGAGGACAUUUUUAGGUGUUUCAAUGGUCCUUACAUAGUGACAGGUGGCCCAAAAGGGAAGGCAGUAAGGAAUGAUGUAAGAGAUGCGCAAAUGGGUUCCAAACACCUGUGCUGGAAUCUCUGCUGCUGAUUUCUCUGCUGAUUCCACGGGAGCUAAACCUCCAUUUGUCUCCUCUCUUAUGUAGACUUUUCCAUCUCUCUUCUUUACGGAACUUGCGUUCUUCUGCUUAGUCAUAUUUUCAGUUUUAGCCUUUUUCACAGUAUUUCUAAGAACAGUGCAUUGCUUCACCUCUGUGACACAGAGCAGCAGCAUCUUACAGCUCUGAAAGGGUGAAUCUCGUUUUCUGUGGCACAGCGCUAAGGUCACGAUGCCUGUUAGACAAAGUGACUUUUUCACAACAGUGUUGAAUUGAACAAAGAGAAAUGAGAAUGAAAAUGAGAUUUCCCAGGACUUGAAGUAUCGCUGCCUAUGAAAGCUCUAAUCAGUUGUUUUUGGAGUUGCUACCAGUUAUU
ensembl:lncRNA